rnacentral:tRNA from 1 species
GUCCCCGUAGCUCAGCCGGAUAGAGCAAGCGUUUCCUAAACGCUAGGUCGUAGGUUCGAAUCCUAUCGGGGACGCCA